GUUUCCAGUGGUUCAUCAGUGUGCAUACGUGUGUGAAUGUGUGUACAUGUACAUGUGCAUGUGUGUGUACAUGUACAUGUUUGAGUGACAGUACUCAGUACUGGGAUAUUUUGUACCAUUACAGUGACCAGGGGCAUUUGAUUCAAUGGUCUGAAGCCAGCAGAUGGCAGUCUAACUUAAAACUCUCCUGAAUGGAUGUCUUGCCAUCAGAAUAAAGUGUGCGAGCAAGGCGAUAAGCUCAUCGAUUGGAGCCGUCUCUGAGGGUUCCAGCAGUCUGAACGUGUGGCUGAAGGUGAUGAAGUGCGUGAAGAGCGUGUUGAGGUGCGGGUGUAACUCCACGGCGAUUGCGUCCUGGUAAUGAGUGCUGAACAGCUGAAAGGAAGUGUGUGUUCUGCUCACAUGUUUCCUGGGCUUUUGGCUGCUGGACACUUUGUUGUUGUGCAGUAAUCAGACAGAGCGCUGAAGAACAGGGUAGUAUGAUGGAAAAAUGACACCGCUGAAAAAGAUGGCCGUGCGGGAGGGCAGAGAGAGUCAGAAGGUCGAUGUCAGUGAUGCGUCUGGACAGGAAGUGAUCUUUCAGGUAAGGUUUGACCUCAGCAGACGGGAGUAUAUGCACACUGUUAUUCUUUCUGUCAACACACACACAUCACCA